AUGGAGCAGAGCCGCUCCCGGCUCAAGCAGCCCCUCCCAUGUUCCCCAAACAGCAGCCCAGGUCCUGGCUGGCAAAGGAGGCCUGAGGGGAGCUUCACAUGCCACCAACCUCACCGCCUGCCUACCUCCCAGGCUGUGUGGGUCCCACAGUCCCAAUCCUGGCCACCAGCCACCCUACUCUCACCUAGUUCUUCAGAGACGCCGUCUCCCGGGGUGUUGGGCGACCAUGGCUGGGUGGGAGCCAUGUCUGACACGUUCUCCCUGAUGCUGAUGCUCUCCUCCCCGCAGCCUGAGCUGAGGGAGGACAGAGAUGGCCCCACUUCUACAGGCAGCCGUGACCCACAGUCCAGCACAGUGCUCUGUGCUCCCAGGCUGAGCGCUGACUGGGACGUGUGGCCAGCGGGGCUCUGUUGGGGCCUGGGUGUGUUGGGCUCAGCUUCUGGUGAGACAGCCCCCAGCAUCAUGUGGGGCGGAGGGACGGGUGCAUGGGUGUUCCACCGUGGCCGGGUGGAAACCACGUCCGACACAGGCUCCCCGAAGCUGAUGCUGGCGUCAGACACGUGUCUGUGGGUGUUCCACCGUGGCCGGGUGGGAACCACGUCCCACACAGGCUCCCCCAAGAUGAUGCUGGCGUCAGACACGUGUCCAUGGGUGUUCCACCGUGGCCGGGUGGGAGCCACGUCCGACACGUUCUCCCCGACCCUGAUGCUGGCGUCGGACACGUGUCCAUGGGUGUUCCACCGUGGCCGGGUGGGAGCCACUUCUGACACGUUCUCCCCGACCCCGAUGCUGGCGUCAGACACGUGCCCGUGGAUGUUCCACUGUGGCCGGGUAAGAGCUGUUUCAGAAGCACAGCCCCCUGUGGGAAGACCACCUCCUGACUCAUGCCCGAAGAGCUGCUCUGCGGGCUGGCUGCUCCCCUCCUUCAGAGCGGCACGCCUGGGUGGGUGUGAGGGGGACAGAGCCACCUGCAAGGUGGAGCCACAGGCAUCCAGCUUCCCACAACUGUCCUCCCACAGCUGUGGCCCUGAGCUUCCCAAGUUGCACUCUGCAGCCUGCAGGGGUCCUGGUGCAGGUGAAGCGGCCACAGCUGGCCUCAGGACAGUACUAAAGUCAUACUCCUGUGGCCUGGAAGGCUGA
rnacentral:lncRNA from 1 species